UGUUCGUUUAAGUGCAGUUGCCAUGUCGCUGAACUACGGUUGUCAUGUCGGACAACUACAGUUGCCAUGUUUGCUCAACUGCAGUUGCCAUCUCAGGUCAAAGUUCCAGAUUGCCAUUUUUUGGACAACUACAGUUAUUGCCAUGUGUGGUCUGGUCUACUGCAGUUGCCAUGAUUUCAAAACUUUAGGAGUUGCCACCUACUAACACUAGGCAGUUGCCAUGUAGCGCUACAAAAAAAUGCAUGGCAAAAAACGUUCGGGUAAAAAAAAAGAGUUGCCAUGUGCUCACAAGCAUGCUAGGGCAGUUGCCAUUUAAAAAAGAAAGAGUUGCCAUCUGCUUACGUGCACGCUAGGGCAGUUUGCCAUGUACCAUGCCAAACAUAUGGCAACUGACAUGUUCGGGUAAAAAAAAGAGAGUUGCCAUCUUCUUGCAAUCACACUAGGGCAGUUGCUAUGUACACUGCAAAACGCAUGGCAACUGGCAGCUUAGGUGUGGGAGAGGAGGCGGGCGUGUGGGCGAGAUGGCAAACUGCCCACACACCAGCCCUUGUGCGUGACUGAAACUGGUGUGUGGGCGAACUACUAAACGCCCACACACCAGCCCCUCCGGGUGGUAAAACGGAUGUGUGGGCGACCUCUCUCACACACCACACACGCGAGUUAUCCUACGUGGCAUAUAAAAUCAGCUAAUUCGUGCCAAGAUUCGUGCAGAAGUUACUGGACGAUGAUGGAGGCGUGUGGAUGAGUUGGCUAACGCCCACACGUGUGGGCAUUAACAUUUCCGAUCCUUUUUUUCAUCCAUGUUUUAGUCUUUGAUCUCAACUUCAUUGAAUCUGUCCCGGCAAAGAACCUUGCAUGGAUUCAGACCAGAACUUUCUUGCAGGAUUCUGUGGCCGGGAGAUAUAUCCAACAAGCGUCAACUGAAGACAGAGACUGCGAGCAUGGGGGAAAGGUUCAGUCCCAUUUUUUUGCAACUGAAGAAGUGUGCACCUACGAUCCAGAAGAACACGCAUCCAUUAAUAUCGACCAAGCACCCCUCUACGGGCCACCCACAUUUAAUGUGUUAGGUGGGCCGACGCAUCGCCAUAAAAAAGCAGAUGCCACCGUUUUCUCUUGACGGUUGCACCUACGGUCCACAUCAACGCAGCGCCCCGACGGCUAUCCGUCUGUCCUGUUUAUCCGUUCGUACUACGAUAACGACCGUCACGUAUACGUCCCACGCGCAUACAUUAAUUGUCCCAUCUGUACGCGCCCACUACGAGUCCCCGUCCUAAUCCCAUCGCGAAUCGACGCUCCCCGAUACCGUGAGCAGGCGGACGAGCACGCCGAUGAAUUUCCGAUGGCCUAUGAGCAUAACCAAUCAGUAUGGUCUAAGAACUGAAAGGAGGAUUACACAUGUCAAUGCAUAUUUUUUCCACAAACCUUUGCGUGAAUUGAUGCAUAUGUCGCAUCGUCCUCGGCAGGAACAUAUAUAGUACUUCCUAGUGCCUUGGUUUUCGUUCUGCUCCUGCCUGGUCCGCACCUCCACUUCCAUGUCCAUGUAAACAGAUGCAUCACCAGGUGAAAAAAUAAAUAAAUAAUAAACGGCAUCUGGCUGAGUGCCAAGGUUGACUGAUUUCCUUCAAAAAGGAGAUUAGAUGGAGAAAGCAGGGCUUACAUAGAAUAGAGAGUGCGGACCAAACAAGCAAGCCGACCGGAGAUGCCUCAUGGUAGGGCAGGUCAGGUCGACGAUGUUGUACAUGAGCGUGCGAGGUGUUGGACUGAGGAUAAAAGAGGAGCUAGCAAUGGGGGGCGGGGGCGGGGGCGGGCAGUAAAUAGAGAGAGGAGGCGGGGGUGCCAGCCACCAUAUCUAUGGAGAGGAGAGGAGCGAGCGACCAACACGGGGAGGCGUCCGAUGGAGGGUCAUUCGGCGUGAUGGAUGGAAACGAGAAGGAGGCGGCGUUGCGGGGAGGUGCCUCGUUUCUACGGAGAAUUGAAGGAUCCAGAUCAAUCUAUCGAGAGCUUUAUUGUUCAAAAACGCAAGGUUGGUAGGUGCUCAAUUAAUAGCGUGUAGGAAGAGUUGAAGGUAUUUCGUAAUUAUUCUACUCUUUAUGGACAGCAUUCAACUUAUGUUUAUUAUUUUUAUUUUUUUGCAGAAGACCUGUAAUUUUAUUAGCACACAAAGUAACCUUCAAGAACAAGUAUAGCUACCCCACAGUAAGCAAAAAGACCUUGUGCAAAAAUGAAAAUACAACCAAAUCCCUACACAGGGUCAUCAUCACCGCCGAGAGCUCACAGAAUUCUUACCAAGUAAUUCCCUGAAAAAUCCCGAAUGUAGAUAGCAGCUAGCUUGUUUGUUUCUAUCUACUCUGGAUGAAGCGAUGAUGACUUUUGUCUUGAACGAGCAAAUUGUUUCAUCAACACAUUAAUGGUAUAGCAUAGUUAUGCUAUUUUGCAAGGGGCGAAUAAUGAGUAUGAUAAACUAUUCCACAUACACAAAUCUAAAUAAGUGAGAGCUGAAAUAUAAUAGUAGUAUCUUUGUAUUUCUUUCUUUCUUUCCAAAAGCCAGCCACUACUCCACCUCUUUUACAUACAUGCAUACAUACAUACAUACAUACAAGGUACUAUUGGUCACUGAUAAAUAUAUGAUCCAUCUCAUUUAUAAUACCUAAAUAGUUCAUCCCCACUACUCCCUCCAUCCGGUGAAGAGUGUACAUCUAGUUUCAAAAUUUGUCCACAAAAAAGUGUACUUAUAUCUUUCCAAUACGCUUGGGAAAAAAAUACUUCUCUCCCAUCACACGGUAAUCAAGACCAAUAACAAUCUACACAUGGUAUUUUAAUUUCUACAUGCACUUAGCUCAUUGGAUUUAGGUAAUUAAAGAGGAGGGAGAUGGUGACUUGCACCUUUCCAAUGCAUUUUUUACCCAACUCCAUAAUUUGUCCUAAAAUUUCUAGAUGUACACUCUUCACCGGACGGAGGGAGUAUAUCAUUUCUCUUGACAUGCAGUCUAUCCACAUCACUAAUCAACAUGCAACCAUGCACUUCGCUCCACCUCAGCAAUCUAGCCGCAUCCUCAGCGAUAGUGCCACAUCAGCAACUUUUGCCCAUGCAUUGAAAACACACAUGCAUGUUAGUUCAGCAAAAAAAAAACCUGUUCGUCCGGUGCAAGCGAGGCAUGCCCUUUGAUAUUACGCGGUGCCCGAGCAACCCUCUAUUUUUCUGGCGUAAUUGAUCUCUCAUUAUCUCUGAUUCGCCACGCACGGGCAACACAGCCGCGAUCUGCCCGAGAACUGCAUGUAUGCGCGCGUGAGACCACCCAGUAAGAGCAUGGCUAACACUAGCCAUAAUGGAGAGUAACAUACACUAGUAACAUACACAUAUCCCUAGACUAUGUUACUAUCUCAAUAGUGGGUAGUAACAUAAGUAUGGUAACAUGCAAAUCUUCAUUUAUUAGGUUAUAGACUCAUAUUGCAUUGGGACGUGUGAUGUUACAGUAACUAGCUAAGUUACUAGUACUACAUCUCUCCUCAUUAACUCACUGCCACAUAAGCAAAUUUGCUGAGUUGGGCUCCAUGUUACUACCGAAGUUACUCCCAUUGUGGCUAGUCUGAUAAGAAAGCCCGCUGCUGGCUAUAUACCGAUGCCAUGUCACUUAUAGCCUUCAUAAAAGCCCAUUAGUAUAAUAGAUUGACUCUAAGCUAGCUAUUAGAUUGGAUAUAGUAUUUAAUGCUUGCAUGUAAAGAAAGGCAAGGAAACACAUGUGAUUGGAACAGACGAAGUACCGCCUGCUUUUUAGCUCUCAUGCGGCUGCAUGCAGGUCACUUUUUCUUGGUUGUUGCGCUGUAGCCGGGCGACUAGUGAGACGCCCGCUCCCUUCUCUUUCCUCCGUUCUCUCUCCUCCAGCUGGGAUUCUGGUGACGUGUGAUGGCUUAUAGCCUGCUGAGUGUGUCCUAUUAUACCUGCUUUAAUGUGCGAAGGACACAAAUCAACGCAAAGCAAGAACUCAACAAAUUUUAUCCAAGCAUGUCGCCCAUCAAUUCGUUGCAGUUAAUUACUAUUGCCUAAAAACCCAUGCAUGCAGUUAAUUACGGCUGAACUGAAUCGUGCAUUGGCAUGCUAAUAGUUCGAACUUGUUUUAUGCUGUCUGUCUUCUGAAUUCUGUAAGUCUGGUUUUCAGUAAUGAAAAUCGAAAGGGGAGAGCCCUUCUUUAAUAAUAAUAAUAAAAAAGCUUUUGGCCCGCCGGUCUAUUCCCUUCCCAGUCCCAGACUAGUAGUAUCAUUUAUUGCUGGCGCGUUAUCUCUUCCUCUUCUCCAUCCGGUUCAACUAGCACAAAUCAACCCUUCAGGAGCGAUGGUGGCAUUCAUGGCGAUGUAUAUAGCCACCCAUUGCAAACACAACCAAAUUGAAACAUCUCUCACCUUCAGGAGCGAUGCUGGCGUUCAUGGCGAGGUCCUGCUCCUUCGUGAGUCGUCCACGCCGGAGACCCGCGCACUGCUGCUUUCCUAGGCCCCUGUAAUCUUGGCACUUGAACCGAGCCCUGCAUCCGAUUGCCGAUGAAACGGACCCUUUUGGCUUCGCUGGUCCAAGCGACGCACCCCGUCCUCCUCCGGCAUCAGCUGCACUGAAGAAGAAAGCUUUGUUCCAUCUCCGGCCACCUCCUCCACGUAGCAAGUCCGGUCUUUCUCACCCACGGCCUUACCUACAAUCCUAUCUAACUCGAGCACUGUCGGCAAGCAUUUGCCGAGAUACGAUGGUUCGUGCACAUCUCUCCCUCAUCGAUCUGGUUGAUUUUGAUUAGAAAUUCAGUUUCGUUUUUUACUGUCCUUGAAGGAAUAAACAGAUGAAACUCACCAUGUUCUACCUGCAAUUCCAGUCGUGCAUCUCUCUCUCUCUCUCACACAUUAGUAUGAAUCAUAUUGAUAUUUUUAUUGCUACUUAUGAUUGAUUUGCAGAAUUGAACAUAUGACAUAGUGCAGUUCAUCUCCAGUAUUCCCUGCAAAAAAAAAAAAAAAGUUCAUCUCCAGUAUGUUCGUUCGUGACAGUACUAUUUCAGAGACAUUGUUGUUCUUCUACUGUAUGUGUUCAAAACCAAAGGUUUCGUUUGAUUGCUGCUCAGCAUCCGGAGGCUUGAGUAUUGCACCUAAAAGAAGGAGGCAAGGAGCUCUAAUUAUUAGUUCUCUGAUUUUUUCAUUUCAAAAAAAAGGAGCUCUAAUUAUUUUUUAUCUGAUAUUCUUUUUGCUUUGAGAUAAACGCUGGAAUAGUAACAGACUUUCAGUUUCAAGCAUGUCAAUGUAUAAAUGUAUAAUUACAAUCAAAGAAUCUUCUAUAAGGCUAAGCAUUUGGGA